AUUGAACGCUGGCGGCAGGCCUAACACAUGCGAGUCGAACGGUAACAGGAAACAGCUUGCUGUUUCGCUGACGAGUGGCGGACGGGUGAGUAAUGUCUGGGAAACUGCCUGAUGGAGGGGGAUAACUACUGGAAACGGUAGCUAAUACCGCAUAACGUCGCAAGACCAAAGAGGGGGACCUUCGGGCCUCUUGCCAUCGGAUGUGCCCAGAUGGGAUUAGCUAGUAGGUGGGGUAACGGCUCACCUAGGCGACGAUCCCUAGCUGGUCUGAGAGGAUGACCAGCCACACUGGAACUGAGACACGGUCCAGACUCCUACGGGAGGCAGCAGUGGGGAAUAUUGCACAAUGGGCGCAAGCCUGAUGCAGCCAUGCCGCGUGUAUGAAGAAGGCCUUCGAGUUGUAAAGUACUUUCAGCGGGGAGGAAGGGAGUAAAGUUAAUACCUUUACUCAUUGACGUUACCCGCAGAAGAAGCACCGGCUAACUCCGUG
rnacentral:rRNA from 1 species